ACCUGGCUCACAAAGGAGAACCACCCAGCUGAUAGUAGACUGGGUAAAAGAGGAGAAGAAGAGGUAGACAGGACAGAGAGGAUGAAAGAGAGAGAGAGAAACAUACAUGUGUGGCAGGUGGAGUGUUGCUCCAACCUCCACGUCCAAUUGUCCCACCUGACUCUGAUUGCGCAGGGGGCGUUACCUGUUAAUUGGCCGCGUUCACACCGGCGCACACAUUGUUGUUCGGCGUUCGCGGCCGGAGGUUUUCGUCUGGUACUGCGGUGAUCGGCACCAAACGGUGAUCCACACGCGGUGUCUGCUGUGUUGUGUGUGGUCCCUCCUGAGGAUCGUUUGGUGGUGUGCGCUCUCUGCCCUCGCCGUCAGACGUGCCUGCAUAGUGCGCAGGGUGUGCGUGAGUCUUCUUCAUCUGGCACUGAGGCCAUAGUUAGCACCUUUUCUUCGGCUCUGGCGCUCCGCGGGGGUUGCAAGCUCCGCCAGUGAAAUGGUCCAUCAGCUGAGCAUUCUGUAAGACGGCGAUUCGCCGUCUCCAGCCCCGGUGCAGUCGCUCCGUCUCUACUCCGUCUCUGGGGACUGGUAG